rnacentral:rRNA from 1 species
GUACACUCCUACGGGAGGCAGCAGUGGGGAAUUUUGAACAAUGGGCGAAAGCCUGAUCCAGCCAUGUCGCGUGCAGGAUGAAGGCCUUCGGGUUGUAAACUGCUUUUGUACGGAACGAAACGGCCUUUUCUAAUAAAGAGGGCUAAUGACGGUACCGUAAGAAUAAGCACCGGCUAACUACGUGCCAGCAGCCGCGGUAAUACGUAGGGUGCAAGCGUUAAUCGGAAUUACUGGGCGUAAAGCGUGCGCAGGCGGUUAUGUAAGACAGUUGUGAAAUCCCCGGGCUCAACCUGGGAACUGCAUCUGUGACUGCAUAGCUAGAGUACGGUAGAGGGGGAUGGAAUUCCGCGUGUAGCAGUGAAAUGCGUAGAUAUGCGGAGGAACACCGAUGGCGAAGGCAAUCCCCUGGACCUGUACUGACGCUCAUGCACGAAAGCGUGGGGAGCAAACAGGAUUAGAUACCCUAGUAGUCCC